rnacentral:rRNA from 1 species
CCAAGCUAUGUUGGGGGCGCGGCGCACAGCUCAAUAACACGUGGCUAACCUGCCCUUGGGAUAGGGACAACCCCGGGAAACUGGGGCUAAUCCCCAAUAGGCGAAGGCUCCUGGAAUGGAUCUUCACCCGAAAGGAAUCUAGAUCAUGCUUCUAGGUGUCGCCCAAGGAUGGGGCCGCGGCCGAUCAGGUUGUUGGUGAGGUAAUGGCCCACCAAGCCUUUUACCGGUGCGGGCCGUGAGAGCGGGAGCCCGGAGAUGGGCACUGAGACAAGGGCCCAGGUCCUACGGGGCGCAGCAGUCGCGAAACCUUUGCAAUACACGCAAGUGUGACAGGGCCAUCCCGAGUGCCGACCGCUGAGGUUGGCUUUUUAUCAGUCUAGAAAGCUGGGAGAAUAAGGAGAGGGCAAGUCUGGUGUCAGCCGCCGCGGUAAUACCAGCUCUCCGAGUGGUGUGGACGUUUAUUGGGCCUAAAGCAUCCGUAGCUGGCUGAACAAGUCCCCUGUUAAACCCAACGAUUUAAUCGUUGGCUUGCGGGGGAAACUGCUCGGCUAGGAGACGGGAGAGGCAGACGGUAUUCUCGGGGUAGGGGUGUAAUCCUAUAAUCCCGAGAAGACCACCAGUGGCGAAGGCUGUCUGCUAGAACGCGCUCGACGGUGAGGGAUGAAAGCUGGGGGAGCGAACCGGAUUAGAUACCCGGGUAGUCCCAGCUGUAAACGAUGCAGGCUAGGUGGUUUGGACGGCCACGUGCCGUCCUAGUGCCGCAGGGAAGCUGUUAAGCCUGCCGCCUGGGGAGUACGAUCGCAAGAUUGAAACUUAA